rnacentral:rRNA from 1 species
AUCGAACGCUGGCGGCAGGCCUAACACAUGCAAGUCGAACGAGUGGCGGACGGGUGAGUAAUGUCUGGGAAACUGCCUGAUGGAGGGGGUUAACUACUGGAACCGGUAGCUAAUACUGAAUACCAUCAGAUGUGCCCCGGUGGGAUUAGCUAGUUGGUGGGGUAACGUGUCACCAAGGCCACGAUCCCUACCUGGUCUGAGAGGAUGACCGGCGACACUGGAGCGCAGACACGGUCCAGACUCCUACGGGAGGCAGCAGUGGGGAAUAGGGCACAAUGGGCGCAAGCCUGAUGCAGCGAUGCCGCGUGUAUGAAGAAGGCCUUCGGGUUGUAAAGUACUUUCAGCGGGGGGGCGUUACCCGCAGAAGAAGCACCGGCUAACUCCGUGCCAGCAGCCGCGGUAAUAC